CUUCUUCCCGGCGAGUCAUCGCCGGAAAUCCAUCUCUCUCUCCCUCGCAUACAUCGGUAACCACCCAAACACUCACCUCUCAAUCUCUCUCGAAUCUCCUCCGGCGAAGAACCGUCGGUCAGUCACCUCCCUCAACGUUUCACUACAGCGCCGUUGUUCCUGCUGCUCCGGCGACUCACGACGAGGCCACCGCCGAUUGCUGCUGUUUGUGGAAGCGCCGCCGACUGCUGCUGUUCGUGGAGUCCGCCGCCGACUGCUGCUGUUCUGAAGUUGGCCGCCGACUGCUGCUGUUCUGGUAUCGCGGGCUGCUGUUGCAGAGCUCCGACAGCCACCACCGUCGUCGGCUGCCGCUGCCUCGCCCAAGGCCGACUUCUGCUACCAAGCACCGAACGCCGCUGCUGUAGGGAGGCCGGCGAACAGUCGGGUGUUCGCCGUUUCCAGUUCUUCUCCGAGUUCCGAAGCCGGUGAGAGCUCCAUCAUCGCGUCGUCUCGUUCGUCUCUCGGCCCAACUGAACAGGUCGUGGAGCAACAAGGCGAGCUUCUCGCCUGAACCCACCGCCAAGCACCGAGUCGCUGCUGCUCGUCGUCUCUCGAUCAGCCUGAACAGGCCGCGUCCCUUCUUCCUAAAGCUAAGUUAUAUCCUUGACUCGUCUUCUUCCUACCAUGUAUGAGUAUCGAUAAGCUUAAGCUUCUAUGAGUAAGAAAGAAUCAGGGUUUAACACUCUGUCAGUGAGCAUGCUAUCGCUAUCCUUGUUCGUUCAUUCAUGUGCUAUGUGUGAGGUCCUCAUGGUUUGUGUUCUAGAGUGCAGUGGCAGUAUACACAUAAGUCUUUCUAUUGCUAUACAUAACAUGGACUGUUUGAUGUAGUGGUAAAACAUGAUUAUGCUCGUUGGUAUGAAUGCGAACUCGAUUGGAUAACUGAGGUAGUAUAAAUACCUUGAAUGAUGCUUGCUUUGGUGUUUGUUGGCUGUUGUGGUUGGAUUAAAUGAAGCAGCAGAUCGAACUGAAAUAAUAAAGUUGUUCUUGCAUUAAUGCAGGUGGAAUAAGGGAAGAAGGUGGAGCAUUGAAGACAAGCUUACCUUGAGAAUACUUGGUAGGAUGAAUUAAAGGCUCACUUCUCCUUGUGCAGUCCUCAAAUGAAGAAUGAAGAGAAUGCAACAAUGUUGGCUGUUUUGAAUGACGAGGUGGUUUGGCUGGGAGCUUGUAUACAUGGGAGGAGGUACAUUCUAGGGUGGCUGAUUGACAUAUUUAGGUGUACUUGGGUAUGGCAGCCUGCUGCAUAGGCGUGGGAAAAGAAAG
rnacentral:lncRNA from 1 species